rnacentral:rRNA from 1 species
GGCAUCUAAGCGUGAAGCCCCCCUCAAGAUGAGAUAUCCCAUCCGAAAGGAGUAAACCCCCUUGAAGACGACGAGGUUGAUAGGGCAGGGGUGGAAGUGUGGUAACACAUGGAGCUGACUGCUACUAAUAGGGUGAGGGCUUGACCAAAA